AUUGUGGCAGGGUGUUUUUGCUGUAGUUCAGAACCCACACUUCUCUCUGUGAAACUACCUGGCAAGCAGUAGUACUUUCUGGAAUAUGGGAAGACAGAAUCUUUGUCAGUGGAAGUUCCUAAUUGUGAAACUACAGAUGACUGGAUGUCUGUUAUUGUUUGUGGAUGGAGGGUUAUACAGAUCCUCGUUAGUGAAACACAAGCAUGCACUGAAGCAGGAACUGGAAUCCAGCUUGUUGCCCUUUUCAGUAGGUCUGGGAUGGGCUCAGUGUGAUUGUCAUCGUAUUCCUUGGAGAUGGCUGCAAGUCAGCGUGGCAAAGGGUUUAUGA
rnacentral:lncRNA from 1 species